AUUUAAGUUUAGGGUUUUUUUCUUUUGUUAUUGUUUAAUAUGUUGAGUUUAUAUAUAUAAGAAAAGUUAAGAAUGAGAGGAGUAGAUAAGGGAGAUGAGAUGAGGAAGAGUUCGGUAACUACUUCUACUCCAAUGGUCUUAGAUACGUUUCUGGUGAAGAGUCGUGCAAGUUAUGAUGUGGAUAUAUGAAGUACGUUCCAAUUUUAGCCAUCUACAACCUCAGCUUUCCUCAAUGUCUUCCCACUGUCUUGACACUUCUUCUCAACUCACUGUACAAGAAAAUUUCCACAGUGAUGCUGAGAUGAACCCACCAAAAAACGAUGCUAGACUACAAUAUUGGAAGUGGGAAACAAGGAAACAAGGCAGCUACUGAGAUAAACAGCAAGUCUUACAAGGAGAUGAGCCAAAUGCAUACUUUAAGAGGAGUAACUCAUGUCCAUAAAGAUUAUGACGUCUCCUCUCCAAAUGCCCUCAACAUAAUGCCUCUUUGGGCUCACCAUUCUUGAGUCAGAUUUCAAUUUAUUUACAAAGAAUGUUUUUUUGGAUAUCAUGGGUUCUAAUACCACAUUAGAUAAACGUGGAGUUCUAUCUCAAAAUAAAACCUAGUUUUGCAAGAAUCCGUAAA